rnacentral:rRNA from 1 species
CGGGAGACACACGGCGGGUGCUAACGUCCGUCGUGAAGAGGGAAACAACCCAGACCGCCAGCUAAGGUCCCAAAGUCAUGGUUAAGUGGGAAACGAUGUGGGAAGGCCCAGACAGCCAGGAUGUUGGCUUAGAAGCAGCCAUCAUUUAAAGAAAGCGUAAUAGCUCACUGGUCGAGUCGGCCUGCGCGGAAGAUGUAACGGGGCUAAACCAUGCACCGAAGCUGCGGCAGCGACGCUUAUGCGUUGUUGGGUAGGGGAGCGUUCUGUAAGCCUGUGAAGGUGUGCUGUGAGGCAUGCUGGAGGUAUCAGAAGUGCGAAUGCUGACAUAAGUAACGAUAAAGCGGGUGAAAAGCCCGCUCGCCGGAAGACCAAGGGUUCCUGUCCAACGUUAAUCGGGGCAGGGUGAGUCGACCCCUAAGGCGAGGCCGAAAGGCGUAGUCGAUGGGAAACAGGUUAAUAUUCCUGUACUUGGUGUUACUGCGAAGGGGGGACGGAGAAGGCUAUGUUGGCCGGGCGACGGUUGUCCCGGUUUAAGCGUGUAGGCUGGUUUUCCAGGCAAAUCCGGAAAAUCAAGGCUGAGGCGUGAUGACGAGGCACUACGGUGCUGAAGCAACAAAUGCCCUGCUUCCAGGAAAAGCCUCUAAGCAUCAGGUAACAUCAAAUCGUACCCCAAACCGACACAGGUGGUCAGGUAGAGAAUACCAAGGCGCUUGAGAGAACUCGGGUGAAGGAACUAGGCAAAAUGGUGCCGUAACUUCGGGAGAAGGCACGCUGAUAUGUAGGUGAAGCGACUUGCUCGUGGAGCUGAAAUCAGUCGAAGAUACCAGCUGGCUGCAACUGUUUAUUAAAAACACAGCACUGUGCAAACACGAAAGUGGACGUAUACGGUGUGACGCCUGCCCGGUGCCGGAAGGUUAAUUGAUGGGGU